GACGAACGCUGGCGGCGUGCUUAACACAUGCAAGUCGAACGGAAAGGCCCUGCUUUUGUGGGGUGCUCGAGUGGCGAACGGGUGAGUAACACGUGAGUAACCUGCCCUUGACUUUGGGAUAACUUCAGGCAACUGGGGCUAAUACCGGAUAGGAGCUCCUGCUGCAUGGUGGGGGUUGGAAAGUUUCGGCGGUUGGGGAUGGACUCGCGGCUGAUCAGCUUGUUGGUGGGGUAGUGGCUUACCAAGGCUUUGACGGGUAGCCGGCCUGAGAGGGUGACCGGCCACAUUGGGACUGGGAUACGGCCCAGACUCCUACGGGAGGCAGCAGUGCGGUAUAUUGCACAAUGGGCGGAAGCCUGAUGCAGCCACGCCGCGUGCGGGAUGACGGCCUUCGGGUUGUAAACCGCUUUCGCCUGUGACGAAGCGUGAGUGACGGUAAUGGGUAAAGAAGCACCGGCUAACUACGUG
rnacentral:rRNA from 1 species